CGGACGGGUGAGUAAUGUCUGGGAAACUGCCUGAUGGAGGGGGAUAACUACUGGAAACGGUAGCUAAUACCGCAUAACGUCGCAAGACCAAGGAGGGGGACCUUAGGGCCUCUUGCCAUCGGAUGUGCCCAGAUGGGAUUAGCUAGUAGGUGGGGUAACGGCUCACCUAGGCGACGAUCCCUAGCUGGUCUGAGAGGAUGACCAGCCACACUGGAACUGAGACACGGUCCAG
rnacentral:rRNA from 1 species